UACCAGCACCCCGAGUGGUCGGGACGUUUUAUUGGGCCUAAAGCAUCCGUAGCCGGUUCUACAAGUCUUCCGUUAAAUCCAUCUGCUUAACAGAUGGGCUGCGGAAGAUACUAUAGAGCUAGGAGGCGGGAGAGGCAAGCGGUACUCGAUGGGUAGGGGUAAAAUCCGUUGAUCCAUUGAAGACCACCAGUGGCGAAGGCGGCUUGCCAGAACGCACUCGACGGUGAGGGAUGAAAGCUGGGGGGAGCAAACCGG
rnacentral:rRNA from 1 species